UGGGGAAUCUUCCGCAAUGGGCGAAAGCCUGACGGAGCAACGCCGCGUGAGUGAAGACGGCCUUCGGGUUGUAAAGCUCUGUUAUAUGGGACGAACGGGUGUAUGGUCAAUACCCAUACGCCGUGACGGUACCGUAAGAGAAAGCCACGGCUAACUACGUGCCAGCAGCCGCGGUAAUACGUAGGUGGCAAGCGUUGUCCGGAAUCAUUGGGCGUAAAGGGCGCGCAGGCGGUUCGGUAAGUCGGUCUUAAAAGUGCGGGGCUUAACCCCGUGAUGGGAUUGAAACUGCCGGACUGGAGUGUCGGAGAGGAAAGCAGAAUUCCUAGUGUAGCGGUGAAAUGCGUAGAUAUUAGGAGGAAUACCAGUGGCGAAAGCGGCUUUCUGGACGACAACUGACGCUGAGGCGCGAAAGCCAGGGGAGCAAACGGGAUUAGAUACCCCGGUAGUCCUGGCCGUAAACGAUGGAUACUAGGUGUAGGGAGGUAUCGACCCCUUCUGUGCCGGAGUU
rnacentral:rRNA from 1 species